rnacentral:rRNA from 1 species
CGAGCGGACAGAAGGGAGCUUGCUCCCGGAUGUUAGCGGCGGACGGGUGAGUAACACGUGGGUAACCUGCCUGUAAGACUGGGAUAACUCCGGGAAACCGGAGCUAAUACCGGAUAGUUCCUUGAACCGCAUGGUUCAAGGAUGAAAGACGGUUUCGGCUGUCACUUACAGAUGGACCCGCGGCGCAUUAGCUAGUUGGUGGGGUAAUGGCUCACCAAGGCGACGAUGCGUAGCCGACCUGAGAGGGUGAUCGGCCACACUGGGACUGAGACACGGCCCAGACUCCUACGGGAGGCAGCAGUAGGGAAUCUUCCGCAAUGGACGAAAGUCUGACGGAGCAACGCCGCGUGAGUGAUGAAGGUUUUCGGAUCGUAAAGCUCUGUUGUUAGGGAAGAACAAGUGCGAGAGUAACUGCUCGCACCUUGACGGUACCUAACCAGAAAGCCACGGCUAACUACGUGCCAGCAGCCGCGGUAAUACGUAGGUGGCAAGCGUUGUCCGGAAUUAUUGGGCGUAAAGGGCUCGCAGGCGGUUUCUUAAGUCUGAUGUGAAAGCCCCCGGCUCAACCGGGGAGGGUCAUUGGAAACUGGGAAACUUGAGUGCAGAAGAGGAGAGUGGAAUUCCACGUGUAGCGGUGAAAUGCGUAGAGAUGUGGAGGAACACCAGUGGCGAAGGCGACUCUCUGGUCUGUAACUGACGCUGAGGAGCGAAAGCGUGGGGAGCGAACAGGAUUAGAUACCCUGGUAGUCCACGCCGUAAACGAUGAGUGCUAAGUGUUA